rnacentral:rRNA from 1 species
AAUUGGGGACAAUACCAGAUAGGGCAUCGAUAGCUGGAAUGCGCGAUGUCCAAAAGCUGAGGCGCCCAAGGAUAGGUCUGCGGCCGAUUAGGUUGUUGUUGAUGUAAUGGAUCAACAAGCCUGCGAUCGGUACGGGUUGUGAGAGCAAGAGCCCGGAGAUGGGUUCUGAGAAAAGAACCCAGGUCCUACGGGACGCAUCAGGCGCGAAAACUUUACAAUGUGCGAAAGCACGAUAAGGGAACUCUGAGUGCCUCCUAUGGAGGCUGUUCAGGUGUCUAAAAAGCACUUGAAGUAAGGGCUGGGUAAGACCGGUGCCAGCCGCCGCGGUAACACCGGCAGCCCAAGUGGUAGCCACGAUUAUUGGGUCUAAAGCGUCCGUAGCCGGCCAGGUAAGUUCUUUGGGAAAUUUAGCCGCUCAACGGUUAAGCUUUCAGGGAAUACUGCUUGGCUUGGGACCGGGAGAGGUCAGAGGUACUUCAAGGGUAGGGGUGAAAUCCGUUAAUCCUUGAGGGACCACCAGUAGCGAAGGCGUCUGACCAGACCGGGUCCGACGGUGAGGGACGAAGGCUAGGGUCGCGAACCGGAUUAGAUACCCGGGUAGUCCUAGCCGUAAACGAUGCAGGCCAGGUGUUGGCAUUACUGCGAGUGAUGUCAGUGCCGAAGGGAAGCCGUUAAGCCCGCCAUCUGGGGAGUACGGUCGCAAGGCUGAAACUUAA